CCCAGGGGCUUUCCUACCCACCCCUCCAGUCCCCAGGGAGCCCUGCUGGGCCCCACAGCCUGAAACCCAGUCCGGGGCUGGGCCUGGGCAGGCUGUGUUCCCACCCUACCCUGCCCCCACUCCCAGAGAGAGGAGGCCUCCCCCGAAAAGAACGCGCUUGUCUGCCUGCCUGUCUGGCUCCGGGAUCAGUCUAAGGUUUCAGCCACCAAAAAAGGCCACGGGAAGGAGAGGGCCGGGCAGCUGGCCCGUGUUCCAGGAACUGCAGGAACCAGCCUCUCAGGCAGCAGGACCCCCUGCCCUGGCCACACCCUUCCUCGGGGGCGGGGGCGCUGCUGAUCUGCACGGCUGAGGACCCUGAGGCCCUGCUGGCUGGCCUUGUCACUGCCCACUGCCCCCAGCCCAGUGGUGGGGCCUCGCUUCCUGGCUGGUGCUGAAUCUCAUUGCAUCGGGGGACAGUUUCUGAAUGAGGACAGACAGAGGGAAGUGACUGGCCCCAUCAAGCCAGUCAUUCCACGCCCCGCAGGCCUCAGCCACUGUCCACAUGGCACAGAUGGGGCAGGGAGCCCAGAGGGGCCACACGCCGGCUGGCUUGGGUCCCCAUGACCGUCAGCUGCGAAGUGAGGCGCAACUUGAGUCCAGAUCUCAUUCCAGGACCCGGCGCUUGGGACGAACGACCAGCCUGGGCAUCACACACACGGAGGUGGGGACAGUGGACAGUGACUGCUGGAGCCACCUGGUUCAUCCCAGAACCCUGGCUCUGACGGCACCAGGAUGGCUGGUGGGGAGAGACCCUCGUCCACCACAGAGCUGGCCACUGCAGAGGUGGCUGUCCACCUCAGAGCUUCCAGCACCCAGGCCUGGGUCCGUCCUGCCACCUGGGACCACACGGCUCCAUGGCUUCGCUGGUGUCAGGAAAACGCAUUUGAUUCUCUUUGAGUAAAAGGUAAGCUGACUCUUUUAGGGGGAAGAGAUUCAUUCUUAGUCAUGAUUUAACGUAUAAGCCCCACUUGAGAGGGAUCCUAAACCUUGGAGAGCUCCCCUGAGCCUCGG